AAAACGUUUUGACUGUUUAUCUGACACCUCCAGCUCUUCCAACAGUCUGAGGCGUGCUGUCCUGCAGCAGGCCAUCACUGUCCUUCAGGCACCAAAGUGCUGCUUUCAAACACUGGAAGAUUUAGCCUGUGUGAGACUGGUGUCAUUUUCCACAGAAAGAAACCGAAGCACGGAGCACAGAGGUGCAACCUGCCCAAAGUCACAGAGGAGGCACGAUCUGGGCCUGCCGUUCCCAGUGGGAUCCCUUGCACCAGUUUGGCCUCGCUCCCGUACUGCGUCUUACAGCCUGGAUCCGGGUGCUUCACGAGGUUUAAGUUUACAAACUGCUACGCCAUAGUUCAUUUUGCGAAAAACUGCUCGAAUGUUCACAUGAAUGGUGCUAAUUUUCAGGAAGGACAAGAUAGGCUCAUCCCCACUACCUUUGGGGAGCACCUGCAGACCUGAACAGCACUGCUUGACAACAGCCAAACGCCAGAGCCGAUAAAUCAAGAGAGGUCAUUAUCCAUGCUGAAUACUGGGGAGUCUAAGACAACACCUAUCCAACC
rnacentral:lncRNA from 1 species